AUCCGCCAGGCGGGCGCGGCCGNNUCCUGCGCGCCGUCCACACCCGCCUGACGACUGCUCGCUACGUUUUGUUAGCC
rnacentral:sRNA from 1 species